AAGAACCCUAGCAGGUGCUGAAAAGGUUACAAAGUGAUGCACUGAUGCUCCAGAUGUAGAUUGUAAAAACGAAGGUAGAUAACUGAGAUGGGUGAGGUACAAAGACAGAGACUAAUACAUUAUCCAAUAGAAAGAAGUUAGAAAAUGAUGCAUUAUCCAAACCAAAAUGUUAGUUUAAUAAGAAAAAUUAUGA